rnacentral:rRNA from 1 species
AUUGAACGCUGGCGGCAGGCCUAACACAUGCAAGUCGAACGAGUGGCGGACGGGUGAGUAAUGUCUGGGAAACUGCCUGAUGGAGGGGGCUAACUACUGGAAACGGUAGCUAAUACCGCAUACCAUCGGAUGUGCCCAGAUGGGAUUAGCUUGGUGGUGGGGUAACGGCUCACCAAGGCGACGAUCCCUAGCUGGUCUGAGAGGAUGACCAGCCAACAUGGAACUGAGACACGGUCGAGACGCCGACGUGAGGCAGCAUUGGGGAAUAUUGCACAAGGGGCGCAAGCCUGAUGAAGCCACGCCGCGUGUAUGAAGAAGGCCUUCGGGUUGUAAAGUACUGUCAGAGGGGAGGCGGUACCCGCAGAAGAAGCACCGGCUAACUCCGGGCCAGCAGCCUCGGUAAUAC